rnacentral:rRNA from 1 species
GUGAGGAAUAUUGGUCAAUGGGCGAGAGCCUGAACCAGCCAAGUCGCGUGAAGGAAGAAGGAUCUAUGGUUCGUAAACUUCUUUUGCAGGGGAAUAAAGUGCGGGACGUGUCCUGUUUUGUAUGUACCCUGAGAAUAAGGAUCGGCUAACUCCGUGCCAGCAGCCGCGGUAAUACGGAGGAUCCGAGCGUUAUCCGGAUUUAUUGGGUUUAAAGGGUGCGUAGGUGGGUUGAUAAGUCAGCGGUGAAAGUUUGCAGCUUAACUGUAAAAAUGCCGUUGAAACUGUCGGACUUGAGUGUAAAUGAGGUAGGCGGAAUGCGUGGUGUAGCGGUGAAAUGCAUAGAUAUCACGCAGAACUCCGAUUGCGAAGGCAGCUUACUAAGCUACAACUGACACUGAAGCACGAAAGCGUGGGGAGCAAACAGGAUUAGAUACCCUAGUAGUCC